rnacentral:rRNA from 1 species
CGCGGCCUAUCAGCUUGUUGGUGAGGUAACGGCUUACCAAGGCUUGGACGGGUAGCUGGUCUGAGAGGACGAUCAGCCACACUGGGACUGAGACACGGCCCAGACUCCUACGGGAGGCAGCAGUAAGGAAUAUUGCGCAAUGGGCGAAAGCCUGACGCAGCAACGCCGCGUGCGGGAUGAAGGCCCUCGGGUUGUAAACCGCUUUCAGUAGGGAAGAAAAUGACGGUACCUACAGAAGAAGCCCCGGCCAACUACGUGCCAGCAGCCGCGGUAACACGUAGGGGGCAAGCGUUGUCCGGAUUUAUUGGGCGUAAAGAGCUCGUAGGCGGUUUCGUAAGUCGGAUGUGAAAACUCCAGGCUCAACUUGGAGACGCCAUUCGAUACUGCGAUGACUUGAGUCCGGUAGGGGAGUGUGGAAUUCCUGGUGUAGCGGUGAAAUGCGCAGAUAUCAGGAGGAACACCGGCGGCGAAGGCGGCACUCUGGGCCGGUACUGACGCUGAGGAGCGAAAGCGUGGGUAGCAAACAGGAUUAGAUACCCUGGUAGUCCAUGCCGUAAACGUUGGGCACUAGGUGUGGGGGACAUUCCACGUUUUCCGCGCCGUAGCUAACGCAUUAAGUGCCCCGCCUGGGGAGUACGG